rnacentral:siRNA from 1 species
UGAGAGAGGGUGUUUUCGU